rnacentral:rRNA from 1 species
UGCGUAGGCGGUUUGGUAAGUCUUCUGUGAAAUCUAUGGGCUCAACUCAUAGACUGCAUGAGAAACUGCCGGGCUGGAGUGUGGGAGAGGUGAGUGGAAUUCCUGGUGUAGCGGUGAAAUGCGUAGAUAUCAGGAGGAACACCUGUGGCGAAAGCGGCUCACUGGACCAUAACUGACGCUGAUGCACGAAAGCUAGGGGAGCAAACAGGAUUAGAUACCCUGGUAGUCCUAGCCCUAAACCAUGAUUGCUUGGUGUGACGGGUACCCAAUCCCGCCGUGCCGUAGCUAACGCGUUAAGCAAUCCGCCGUGGGGAGUACGGUCGCAAGGCUGAA